AGCGAACGCUGGCGGCAGGCCUAACACAUGCAAGUCGAACGAACCCUUCGGGGUUAGUGGCGGACGGGUGAGUAACACGUGGGAACGUGCCUUUAGGUUCGGAAUAACUCAGGGAAACUUGUGCUAAUACCGAAUGUGCCCUUCGGGGGAAAGAUUUAUCGCCUUUAGAGCGGACCGCGUCUGAUUAGCUAGUUGGUGAGGUAAUGGCUCACCAAGGCUACGAUCAGUAGCUGGUCUGAGAGGAUGACCAGCCACAUUGGGACUGAGAACCGGCCCAAACUCCUACGGGAGGCAGCAGUGGGGAAUCUUGCGCAAUGGGCGAAAGCCUGACGCAGCCAUGCCGCGUGGAUGAUGAAGGUCUUAGGAUUGUAAAAUCCUUUCACCGGUGAAGAUAAUGACUGUAGCCGGAGAAGAAGCCCCGGCUAACUUCGUGCCAGCAGCCGCGGUAACAC
rnacentral:rRNA from 1 species